rnacentral:misc_RNA from 1 species
CUGGGCUGACAGUCGAGCGGGAAACCAGUCAAUCGAAACUUUUGAACUUCUUCUUCUCUCUCCGUAUUUUGGGAAGAACGAACUGCGAAAUCUGACUUCCAUUAGCACCAAUCGAAACUCUCUUCAUUUUUCCAGGUAACCAAUCAAACCACAAGUCCCACCGUUCCAUUUUUCCGGCGUUUUUUCUACCCUUUUCACCAAGUCCCAAACCCUAGGGUUCCAAACUUCCAAUUGAAACCCUCUCACCAUGCGGAAGGCUAUUUGAGAUGACUAAUCACAGAGAAGCGCCUCCGAAUAAGUUCCACACGGUCCAGGCAGAGCGCGACCUAGAAGCCAACUGGGAGGUAGAUCUCUCUAAGAGGCUUCAAGACUACCUCUUUAAGAUUUGCUCCGGUGAAAUAACCGCCGCCGAAGACUAUAACGCUAACGCCUCUGUUAAUUUCGCUGAAGCUGCUUUGCUGCUUCAAGGUUCGGUUCAGGUGUACAGCAGGAAGGUCGAGUAUUUAUACAACUUGGUCUUGCAUGCUUUGGAGUUUCUUUCUCAAAAGAGGCAGCAGGAGCAAUUGGAGGGCACAUCGGUUCAGGCUGAGCAAAGCGGUUCCCAUUCAGUUUCUGAUGAAGAAAAUGAUCAAUUUUGGUGCUUGGAUGAUGUCCCUGUGGAAGCAAGGAAUUCCUUAGAUGCUUCAACCAGUAAAGAUGCUUCUUUCUAUCACUUUGUGAAACCACCUGCAAAUCUUAUUGUUCUUGAAGGUGAUUGCUUAGAUGCCAGUGUUGAUGGCGGAGAAUUAGAGUCAUACCUGUUAGCCACCAAUGAUCUCUACAGGGAUUUUAUUCUUUUAGACCCAUGUGAUGCUGUUGCAGUGAAUGAUUUUUUGAAGGGACAUAAAAGUAGAAAUGGACCAAAUAGUAUUUAUAGGGGAAGCUCAAUUUGCAAGAGCUUUCUAUCCCCCACUAGAUGUUUGGGGGGAACUGCAUGCAAGUCAUCUCCUGGAAAGAAUCCGGAUGCAAAUCGCAACCAAACUCCUAUGGCUGAUUGCAUGGGGCCAAACCCUCCUGCCCAUGAUAAUUAUGGAGAUGGUAAUCAUGGAUUUGAUAUGGAUGACGCACAUUCAGAACCUAUGAACUUGGAGGAUUCAGAAGAUGAUGAAAAUAAUGAUGAUCCAUGGAAACCUUUAAAUCCCCAUGUGCCUGGGAACCUAAAAGCGAAACCUUUUAGAAAAGGUUGUUAAAGAACUUGAGACUCUUGUUUGUUUUGUUUACCUUUAUAAUUUCUUUGUUCACCUAAUUAUCACUUGUCUUGAAUUUGUCUUAACAAGCAGUAAAACCUUACAGAAGGAAUGUUGUAAAUUCUACCAAGCAGGAAUCUAUAAGUUCCCUAUUUCCACUUGCAAGGAUACGCGGCGCUAUCAGUCCUGAGCUCACAGAAAUAUGGGAAGCACAGCACAAAAGAUCUGAAAGAAACGCCCAGUCUCCUCCUUUAUAUGAAAAGGUAAUGGUUUCGGUGACGAUGUGUCUACCUGAACUUGUCUUGCGAUUAUUGCAUGAUUCCUGCUGCUUCUAUUGCAGCUAAGGCAAUCCCUCAGUGAUGGGGCUAACAACACUAAUGAAACGUUUGGUAAUUCUGAGAAUGACAAUGAAGGCAAUGGAUAUGAGGGUGGAAAUCCAGAUUUUGGACAGCCUAAUGAUGAGAUGCCAGAAAGUAUGUAUAUGGAUGAAGAUUUACCUCAACAUGAAAAGUAUGAUGAUAGCUCUGCUUAUUUUGACAACAAUGAAGCUAAUGGACAUGAAGAUCCGAGUUCUCAAGCAAGCCUAGAAGAUCUUUGUUACUCUCACCUAGUAAGCAUAAACUUGUUUGGCAUUUAGCUAAGGUCAUAAACUAAGUGGAUAUGAAUUGGAUUCAGAUAUUUUCUAAUUCUGUCUAUUAAAGGAGUCAUUAAAUGCAAUCUAAUCCAAUACUUUAA